rnacentral:rRNA from 1 species
GACGAACGCUGGCGGCGUGCCUAACACAUGCAAGUCGAGCGAAUGAAGUUCCUUCGGGAAUGGAUUUAGCGGCGGACGGGUGAGUAACACGUGGGCAACCUGCCUCAUAGAGGGGAAUAGCCUUCCGAAAGGGAGAUUAAUACCGCAUAAGAUUGUAGUAUCGCAUGAUACAGCAAUUAAAGGAGCAAUCCGCUAUGAGAUGGGCCCGCGGCGCAUUAGCUAGUUGGUGAGGUAACGGCCCACCAAGGCGACGAUGCGUAGCCGACCUGAGAGGGUGAUCGGCCACAUUGGGACUGAGACACGGCCCAGACUCCUACGGGAAGCAGCAGUGGGGAAUAUUGCACAAUGGGGGAAACCCUGAUGCAGCAACGCCGCGUGAGUGAUGACGGCCUUCGGGUUGUAAAGCUCUGUCUUCAGGGACGAUAAUGACGGUACCUGAGGAGGAAGCCACGGCUAACUACGUG